rnacentral:rRNA from 1 species
GACGAACCGUGCGAACGUUGUUCGGAAUCACUGGGCUUAAAGGGCGCGUAGGCGGGCAAGCCAGUCCGGGGUGAAAGCCUUCGGCUCAACCGGAGAAGUGCCUUGGAUACUGCUUGUCUAGAGGGAGGUAGGGGUCGCGGGAACUUCCGGUGGAGCGGUGAAAUGCGUUGAUAUCGGAAGGAACGCCGGUGGCGAAAGCGCGCGACUGGAUCUCUUCUGACGCUGAGGCGCGAAAGCUAGGGGAGCAAACGGG